GACGAACGCUGGCGGCGUGCUUAACACAUGCAAGUCGAACGGUGAUGCCCAGCUUGCUGGGCGGAUCAGUGGCGAACGGGUGAGUAACACGUGAGUAACCUGCCCCUGACUUUGGGAUAACUCCGGGAAACCGGGGCUAAUACCGGAUAUGAGCCCUUGCUGCAUGGUGGGGGUUGGAAAGAUUUAUCGGUUGGGGAUGGGCUCGCGGCCUAUCAGCUUGUUGGUGGGGUGAUGGCCUACCAAGGCGACGACGGGUAGCCGGCCUGAGAGGGCGACCGGCCACACUGGGACUGAGACACGGCCCAGACUCCUACGGGAGGCAGCAGUGGGGAAUAUUGCACAAUGGGCGCAAGCCUGAUGCAGCGACGCCGCGUGAGGGAUGACGGCCUUCGGGUUGUAAACCUCUUUCAGCAGGGAAGAAGCGUAAGUGACGG
rnacentral:rRNA from 1 species